UUCACUCUGUUUGCUGAUGUUGCUGCUUUGACACCUGAAUUUCCCUCCGGGGAUUAAUAAAGGUUCAUCUUAUCUUAUCAACCGUUUGACCAACAGGUGGUUUCGUGUACAUAUGAAGCCUCGUGGGUUGAUCCUUUUUUGCGGAAAAACUACGUACUGAUCCAUGUUCAUCACCUUCAGGAAAAUCGAAUGACCAAAAGAUACACUGACCGGGCUGGCUUGGACUUCGAGGUGCUACUGUACUAUUAAUAGAAUAUAUAUGAAUACACAAAUACAAAUGAAUACAAAUCUGACUUUAGAGACCGCAAAUCAAGUACACAACAGAAGUGUACAAGAAAUUGAUAUUUGUACAGAUGUGAUGAGUAUUCAGCUGUUAAAAGACAGAUGGAAACAAAACACAAACUGUCGUGACAAAACAGAAAUGUAUCGUCGCAUAAUGGGACUGUUUACAUCUAACGGAGAGGAAGAUGGUGAUGCUGCUGUGUACUUUGGGACAGUAUGGCAAUCAUGUAAAGAAGAUCUAAAUACAAAAGUACAUGAAGGAGACAAACAAUAUGCCACUGCCAUCGUCCUCAUGAAAGACAACGAGAAAGAGGUUUUUCAAGCAGUUCUUCCAGAUUUU